GAGCUCAGUGGCUAAACACAGCGCGAGUGGUUCGCAGCACUGCUUCGGGAUCACACCCGGAGGAAAUUCUCGGGAGUGGGGGUAACCACAAAAUCCAAGGCACGAAUUGAGUACGGAUUGUGUCUUUGUGCCCGACCCGAAGCGUUUGCGCGUUUGUUUCUUUGAUAUAACUGUUUUUAAGAUAUCCGCUUUCCACUUAACAAACCGAGGUCCGUGUGCUCCGCGUUACUCCCUGCGACAGCUCCCACCUCUCAGCAAAAAAACAAAAUCCCGACUUCCAAAGAAUUCCUGACAGUUACUUCAACUGUGGUAGAACCUCCCCAGAAUCCUCCAUUUGCCUGGAAUACGGACGAAAAUUCCUGGAAAUCCUUUGCUGGAGCUGUGGCAGCAUUUUCCUGGGCAGAGUUUUAGGCGAGCUAGGGGUUUUAUUAUGAAAUCGUGUGUUUCCAAGAGGAUCCUUCCUUCUUACGGGGUUUAGGAAGGGAGAACCUUUUCCCCGAGAAAGCACACGCAGAUAGAACGAUGUUUUCUUUCUCCGCUGCGCUCAGCAGCUCGGAUAUAUGUUGCUUUUAAAUAACAAAAGAGGAGGAGAAAACAUUCUCUAGUAAAGGCGAAUUCCUUCGUUAGUCCGCCUCCUAAACCUGCUAAUAAAACUAAUUCGUUUUAUUUGCCCUGAACUUUUAUAUCUAACCCGGCGUGCUGAUUAGCGCAGCCCUCUGGAAGGCAGGAGGUUCCUAUCUCUCUCCGAGGCUGAUCCGUUAAGAUACGGCUGUUUCCACAAUGAAACUGGAAAGGAAAAGGCUCUAUCCCGACAGUGUUUGCUCCUCGGGCAGCAGAGAGGAGCUGGGGCUGCGGUAGA